rnacentral:misc_RNA from 1 species
GAUGAAGAACGUAGCAAAAUGCGAUAAGUAAUGUGAAUUGCAGAAUUCAGUGAAUCAUCGAAUCUUUGAACGCACAUUGCGCCCGCCAGUAUUCUGGCGGGCAUGCCUGUUCGAGCGUCAUUUCAACCCUCAAGCACAGCUUGGUGUUGGGACUCGCGUUAAUUCGCGUUCCUCAAAUUGAUUGGCGGUCACGUCGAGCUUCCAUAGCGUAGUAGUAAAACCCCCGUUACUGGUAAUCGUCGCGGCCACGCCGUUAAACCCCAACUUCUGAAUGUUGACCUCGGAUCAGGUAGGAAUACCCGCUGAACUUAAGCAUAUCAAUAAGCGGAGGA